AUAUUUUAAAUUAAUAUUAAUUCCUUGAUAUCUUCAAUAUCAUGCUCUAAAUAUAAGCUAUU
rnacentral:tRNA from 1 species